UAACGAGAAGCGGGGGCAACUCCGCGAGUUAGUGGCGAACGGGUGAGUAACACGUGACUAACCUGCCUUCGAGCGGGGGAUAACCCGGGAAACCGGGGCUAACACCGCAUAACAUCCCAGGUUGAGACUCCCUGUGAUCAAAUGCGCAAGCAGCUUGAAGAGGGGGUCGCGCCUGAUUAGCUAGUUGGUGAGGUAACGGCUCACCAAGGCGAUGAUCAGUAGCCGGCCUGAGAGGGCGCACGGCCACACUGGAACUGAAACACGGUCCAGACUCCUACGGGAGGCAGCAGUGGGGAAUUUUGCGCAAUGGGGGAAACCCUGACGCAGCAACGCCGCGUGGAGGAUGAAGUCCCUUGGGACGUAAACUCCUUUCGACCGGGACGAAUAUUGACGG
rnacentral:rRNA from 1 species